rnacentral:rRNA from 1 species
CGGGACGGGUGAGUAAUGCUUGGGAAGUCUGGCUUAUGGAGGGGGAUAACUACGGGAAACUGUAGCUAAUACCGCGUAAUAUCGAAAGAUUAAAGUGUGGGACCUUCGGGCCACAUGCCAUAGGAUGAGCCCAAGUGGGAUUAGGUAGUUGGUGAGGUAAAGGCUCACCAAGCCGACGAUCUCUAGCUGGUCUGAGAGGAUGACCAGCCACACUGGGACUGAGACACGGCCCAG